UAUGCCAUGAUGAGCUAUUAACAUGUAAGAAGAUCCCUCUUGCACUGGUAUCUUCAAUGAAAUUUUUUUGUUACGCUUGUUGGACAAU